UUUAGUUUUUUCAUGAAGAAGAAGUGGAAGGAAAGAGUGAAAACUCUAAAGGAAAAGGAAAAGAAAAGGAAGAUUAGGAAAUUUUAAGCUUGUGGAAGAUUUUGGAAGGUUAAGGUUUGUGCUCAACUUUAUUUGAGUAAAUUUAAGAAUUUGUUAAUUAUAUGCUAUUUAAAAAUUUUACUACCCUAGUAGAAAUAGACCAAGUGAAUAAUAGUUUAAUUAUAUUGUAUAAUCCAAGUUUGAGAAAUAAUAGAUUGAAUAGAUAGAAAAUUUUAAAAUUCAUAUGUAAUUUAAACAAAAUUUAAGUGAUGGAUCUAAUGAAAUGACUCUAUUUUCUUUGAUAGAAAUAUAAUUUGGUUAGAUAUAGUGACAAUAAAAAAUUUAGUAGACUAAAAAAAA
rnacentral:lncRNA from 1 species